rnacentral:rRNA from 1 species
CCUACGGGUGACAGCAGUGAGGAAUAUUGGUCAAUGGACGAGAGUCUGAACCAGCCAAGUAGCGUGAAGGAUGACUGCCCUAUGGGUUGUAAACUUCUUUUAUAUGGGAAUAAAAUGUUCCACGUGUGGGAUUUUGUAUGUACCAUAUGAAUAAGGAUCGGCUAACUCCGUGCCAGCAGCCGCGGUAAUACGGAGGAUUCGAGCGUUAUCCGGAUUUAUUGGGUUUAAAGGGAGCGUAGGUGGAUUGUUAAGUCAGUUGUGAAAGUUUGCGGCUCAACCGUAAAAUUGCAGUUGAAACUGGCAGUCUUGAGUACAGUAGAGGUGGGCGGAAUUCGUGGUGUAGCGGUGAAAUGCUUAGAUAUCACGAAGAACUCCGAUUGCGAAGGCAGUUCACUGGACUGCAACUGACACUGAGGCUCGAAAGUGUGGGUAUCAAACAGGAUUAGAUACCCUGGUAGUC